rnacentral:rRNA from 1 species
GACAGAGGUGCCGAGCGUUAGGCGGAAUCACUGGGCUUAAAGCGUGUGUAGGCGGACUUGUAAGUACCUUGUGAAAUCCCACGGCUUAACCGUGGAACUGCUUGGUAUACUGCUUGUCUUGGGCCAUCUAGGGGCUAGCGGAACAAACGGUGGAGCGGUGAAAUGCGUAGAUAUCGGGAAGAACAUCAGUGGCGAAGGCGGCCUGCUGGGCUGUUGCUGACGCUGAGGCGCGACAGCGUGGGGAGCAAACAGG